rnacentral:tRNA from 1 species
UCCUUGGAUGUCCAGUGGUUAGGACUCCGUGCUUUCACUGCAGGGGGCCCGGGUUCAAUCCCUGGUCAGGGAA